rnacentral:rRNA from 1 species
GCUGGGCGGCAGCUACACAUGCAGUCGAGCGGUAGAGAGAAGCUUGGCUCUUGAGAGCGGCGGACGGGUGAGUAAUGCCUAGGAAUCUGCCUGGUAGUGGGGGAUAACGUUCGGAAACGGACGCUAAUACCGCAUACCUCCUACGGGAGAAAGCAGGGGACCUUCGGGCCUUGCGCUAUCAGAUGAGCCUAGGUCGGAUUAGCUAGUUGGUGAGGUAAUGGCUCACCAAGGCGACGAUCCGUAACUGGUCUGAGAGGAUGAUCAGUCACACUGGAACUGAGACACGGUCCAGACUCCUACGGGAGGCAGCAGUGGGGAAUAUUGGACAAUGGGCGAAAGCCUGAUCCAGCCAUGCCGCGUGUGUGAAGAAGGUCUUCGGAUUGUAAAGCACUUUAAGUUGGGAGGAAGGGUUGUAGAUUAAUACUCUGCAAUUUUGACGUUACCGACAGAAUAAGCACCGGCUAACUCUGUGCCAGCAGCCGCGGUAAUACAGAGGGUGCAAGCGUUAAUCGGAAUUACUGGGCGUAAAGCGCGCGUAGGUGGUUUGUUAAGUUGGAUGUGAAAUCCCCGGGCUCAACCUGGGAACUGCAUUCAAAACUGACUGACUAGAGUAUGGUAGAGGGUGGUGGAAUUUCCUGUGUAGCGGUGAAAUGCGUAGAUAUAGGAAGGAACCCUGUGGCGAAGGCGACCACCUGGACUAAUACUGACACUGAGGUGCGAAAGCUG